rnacentral:rRNA from 1 species
AGUGAACGCUGGCGGUAGGCCUAACACAUGCAAGUCGAACGGCAGCACAGUAAGAGCUUGCGCUGACGGGGGGCGAGGGGCGGACGGGGGAGGAAGACAGCGGAAGCGACUGGGGCGUGGGGGAGAACGGAGGGAAACUGACGCGAAUACCGCAUACGACCGACGGGUGAAAGCAGGGGAUCUUCGGACCUGGCGCGAGUGAAUGAGCCGAUGUCGGAUUAGCUAGUUGGCGGGGUAAAGGCCCACCAAGGCGACGAUCCGUAGCUGGUCUGAGAGGAUGAUCCGCCACCCUUGCCCUGAGACACGGUCCAGCCUCCUCCGGGAGGCAGCCGUGGGGAAUAUUGGACACUGGUCGCAAGCCUGAUCCAGCCCUACCGCGUGGGUGAAGAAGGCCUUCGGGUUGUCAAGCCCUUUUGUUGGGCAAGAAAAGCAGCAGGUUAAUCCCCCGCUGUUCUGCCGGUACCCAAAGAAUAAGCACCGGCUAACUUCGUG